AGGACGAACGCUGGCGGCGUGCUUAACACAUGCAAGUCGAACGGAAAGCGCUCUUCGGAGUGACUCGAGUGGCGAACGGGUGAGUAACACGUGGGUGAUCUGCCCUGCACUCUGGGAUAAGCCUGGGAAACUGGGUCUAAUACCGGAUAGGACUACGGGAUGCAUGUUCUGUGGUGGAAAGCUUUAUGCGGUGUGGGAUGGACUCGCGGCCUAUCAGCUAGUUGUGGGGUAAUGGCCUACCAAGGCGACGACGGGUA
rnacentral:rRNA from 1 species